UCGAGGAUCUUCGGCAAUGGGGGCAACCCUGACCGAGCGACGCCGCGUGUGCGACGAAGGCCUUCGGGUUGUAAAGCACUGUCGGGGGGGAGGAAAGCCGAAAGGCGUGACCCAUCCCCGGAGGAAGCACGGGCUAAGUUCGUGCCAGCAGCCGCGGUAAGACGAACCGUGCGAACGUUGUUCGGAAUCACUGGGCUUAAAGGGCGCGUAGGCGGGUUGCCGCGUCCGGGGUGAAAUUCCACGGCUUAACCGUGAAACUGCCUCGGAUACGGGCGGCCUAGAGGGGGGUAGGGGCGGGCGGAACUCUGCGUGGAGCGGUGAAAUGCGUUGAUAUGCAGAGGAACUCCGGUGGCGAAGGCGGCCCGCUGGACCCCAUCUGACGCUGAGGCGCGAAAGCCAGGGGAGCGAACGG
rnacentral:rRNA from 1 species